AGAACGAACGCUGGCGGCAUGCCUAACACAUGCAAGUCGAACGCUCUUGGUUUCGGCCAAGGGAGUGGCGCACGGGUGAGUAACGCGUGGGAACCUGCCCUGGAGUGGGGGAUAACCGAGGGAAACCUCGGCUAAUACCGCAUACGACCUGAGGGUGAAAGAUUUAUCGCUCUAGGAGGGGCCCGCGUCGGAUUAGCUAGUUGGUGAGGUAACGGCCCACCAAGGCUAUGAUCCGUAGCUGGUCUGAGAGGAUGAUCAGCCACACUGGGACUGAGACACGGCCCAGACUCCUACGGGAGGCAGCAGUGGGAAUAUUGGACAAUGGGCGCAAGCCUGAUCCAGCAAUGCCGCGUGAGUGAUGAAGGCCUUAGGGUUGUAAAGCUCUUUCACACGCGACGAUGAUGACGGUAGCGUGAGAAGAAGCCCGGCUAACUUCGCGCCAGCAGCCGC
rnacentral:rRNA from 1 species